UAUAUUUCUUAUUUGUUUUCAGACACUCUCUGACCCAAACAGUCAUCCUUGUCUUCCUUUUUUUUCCCCUUCUCUUCUGCUGCAGGAUGGCAGCAGCCAGACAAAGCAGUUCUUCCUCAAGGGCAGCAGCAUGUUGGGCUUCUUCCUGACAAAAAUUCAUUUCCAUAUUCUAGAAAUCCAUAUUC